rnacentral:rRNA from 1 species
GCUGGAAUCGCUAGUAAUCGCGGAUCAGAAUGCCGCGGUGAAUACGUUCCCGGGUCUUGUACACACCGCCCGUCACACCAUGGGAGUUGGAAAUACCCGAAGCCUGUGAGCUAACUUAAAGAGGCAGCAGUCGAAGGUAGAGCCAAUGAUUGGGGUGAAGUCGUAACAAGGUACC